rnacentral:rRNA from 1 species
CCUACGGGGCGCAGCAGUGAGGAAUAUUGGUCAAUGGACGAGAGUCUGUACCAGCCAAGUAGCGUGAAGGAUGACUGCCCUAUGGGUUGUAAACUUCUUUUAUAUGGGAAUAAAAUGUUCCACGUGUGGGAUUUUGUAUGUACCAUAUGAAUAAGGAUCGGCUAACUCCGUGCCAGCAGCCGCGGUAAUACGGAGGAUCCGAGCGUUAUCCGGAUUUAUUGGGUUUAAAGGGAGCGUAGGUGGAUUGUUAAGUCAGUUGUGAAAGUUUGCGGCUCAACCGUAAAAUUGCAGUUGAAACUGGCAGUCUUGAGUACAGUAGAGGUGGGCGGAAUUCGUGGUGUAGCGGUGAAAUGCUUAGAUAUCACGAAGAACUCCGAUUGCGAAGGCAGCUCACUGGACUGCAACUGACACUGAGGCUCGAAAGUGUGGGUAUCAAACAGGAUUAGAUACCCCAGUAGUC